rnacentral:rRNA from 1 species
CCUACGGGAGGCAGCAGUGAGGAAUAUUGGUCAAUGGACGAGAGUCUGAACCAGCCAAGUAGCGUGAAGGAUGACUGCCCUAUGGGUUGUAAACUUCUUUUAUAUGGGAAUAAAAUGUUCCACGUGUGGGAUUUUGUAUGUACCAGAUGAAUAAGGAUCGGCUAACUCCGUGCCAGCAGCCGCGGUACUACGGAGGAUCCGAGCUUUAUCCGGAUUUAUUGGGUUUAAAGGGAGCGUAGGUGGAUUGUUAAGUCAGUUGUGAAAGUUUGCGGCUCAACCGUAAAAUUGCAGUUGAAACUGGCAGUCUUGAGUACAGUAGAGGUGGGCGGAAUUCGUGGUGUAGCGGUGAAAUGCUUAGAUAUCACGAAGAACUCCGAUUGCGAAGGCAGUUCACUGGACUGCAACUGACACUGAGGCUCGAAAGUGUGGGUAUCAAACAGGAUUAGAUACCCUGGUAGUC